rnacentral:miRNA from 1 species
UAAUCUUUGUUGAUGGAAAA